rnacentral:miRNA from 1 species
UCUCGGAAGCUAAGCAGGGUCGGGCCUGGUUAGUAUUUGGAUGGGAGACCGCCUGGGAAUACCGGGUGCUGUAGGCUUUU